rnacentral:piRNA from 1 species
UUGCCUUUGCCCCGAUUGCCUUGGCAUCUU